CAUGCCAUCCUUGAGCAUAUUCAUCAUGACAGCAACGCAGAAUCGUUCAUUCUCCGUUCAUAUGGUCAUAACAGGGGGACAAAGGGCUGAAUGUGUACGAUAUUUUUAGAGCGCAGUCACACGGAGGCGGAGCACGGAUGCUUCACGGCCAAGGAUGCGAGUGUCAAACAGCAGGUGGAGACUGACUGCUGAAGGAAAGAACCAGACGAGAACCGCCCACAGAAUCUCAAACACAUUUGAUGAGGAAGAGGGGAAAUAUCAGUGACCUGAUCCGCCCUGAAUGAGUGGGCCCUGAUAGCGUGAACCAUGGUGGACCCAUUGGAACCUGAUGACCAGAGUAAAUUCAGAGGGGCCCAGUUUGAAAGCCCCACUGCAGCCUCUGAAGCACCUUGUCUACCUGAGCCAGGUGAUGAUAGAGAGAAAGAUGUUAGUGUGGAUUCCAGCCCACAGACAGAGCCCAGUACUGAACCUGUACUGAGCCCUCAAGAACCAUGCCAGCAGCAAAACAGUCAACCAGAAGAGUUAAAACUACAUCUGGACCUUUACAAUUUUGACACACCAGCUGCAGAAGGCAGUCGGUAUGUACUGACAAGCCCUCGCUCUCUCGAGGCAUGCGCACGAUGUGGAGUGAAACCUGUGGAGCUUCUGCUUCGUCCACUGUCUGAUUUUGCCCGUGAGGCACCCGGCCGGAGUAUGCGUGUCGCCACAGGAAUGUUUGAGAUAUAUGAGCGGGAUAGACAUGCUAAACUCCGACACUGCAGAGAAGAGAGAGAGCGGAUUAUCAGAGAGGAGAAGAGGCGAAUUUUGCAGGCAGCUCUGAACAAUAAUGCUGGUCCACUGGCUUCAGAGAAGUCAGAGGAAACUGUAAAUGCUGGAUUGUCUCAACAAACCAAUCAGAGUUUAACAAAUCCAGCCCCCAAAAUAACACCUACUUGCAGCGGUGCACCCAAAAAACAAUCUACAUCAACAGCCCCUAAAAGCACGACAGCAGGGUCAGGACAAGUUUCUACAGUGUCCACAUCCAGCUCUCCUCCCAUCUCAAAAGCCAGUCCAGUGAACUCUGCUCCUACUGCUAAAGGAACUUCUGCAAAAAAGUCUAAGUCCCUUGAAGUAGAAUCUGCGGGAAAACUUCAAGGUCCAGAACCUUCAAUAAUCCAACGAUCGAUUCAGUCAGCUCCAGGAAGUCAGGGCUCAAAAAAACCUUCCAGUGCUCAUACAAAGGCUCCAAACACUUUCCCCAGAUCAAUACCAAAACCUUCUUCGUUUCCAAGGACACCAACCUCACUUGCCCCGAUAGUGUCAAAAUCUGCUGUCCAAAGCCCUGCCAACGGCAUUACAAGUACGUUUGCACAGCAUAAUGGGCAUAUCAUCUCCAAAUCAAAGGCUAGAUGCAGAAGCCACUCACUGGAGUCUUUGCAACGGAGGCGUGACACUUUUUGUUCCUCUACUGCUUCAACAACGAACACCACAACUACCACAUGUACCUCCUCUGAAUCUGCUUCCUCAUCCUAUAGCUGGGAUGGGGCAAGAGAUCACUGGGCUAAGACAUCAAGCUCUCGUGCCCGCACUUUAGCUACCUUUAACUCCCUGAUGGGUCGUAGUUUGAGCUUGGGAGACCUUAGCCAUUCUCCACAGACUAUGCAAAAAGUGGAGCGCAUUGUGAAAGAGGUGAAACGACGAGGACUUAAAGCUGUUCCAGAGCGUGACCGAAAGAUUGCUGCACUAAUGCUAGCCAGGUACCAAGAGGAGGACAUAAUGAGCCAGACACGCUACGUAGCACACCUGCAAUGGGACAGUGAGCGGCGAAUAGAGGAGCUGCGACGGGAACGUGAAGAGCGAGAGAAACAGAGGGCCGUGCAGCAGUGCCAACGUGCAUGGCAGUCACAGGUUUCUACCCGGCAGCGCUGGCUUAACCAGCAGGAGUGUGAGGCUGCAGAAGCAAAACUUCGCCAAGCAUUGGAAAAUGAGGAGCGUUGGAAAGAAUUGGCCGAGCAACAAGAACGUAGCCGGUCGCAGAAAUUGCAACAGGCCGCUCGUGAGGAAAAACACAAGAAGGCGUUACAAGAGCAGAACCUUAAAGCUCUGGAGGAGGAGCGAGCUGCUAUUCUUGAGCAAGAGAAACUACUCCUCAAGGAGAAACUGACCAUCGCUGAGCUGAAGCGACAGGAGCGAGAGCACCAAAUUCAAGAGGAGCGUCGUGGACUCAACCGUGCCGAGAAGAGGCACCAUGCAGCUCUUAUCCAAGAGAUUGCACGUCGUGAAGUGGACGAGCGUGAAGAAGCAUGGAGAAUAGCUGAAGAGAAGCUAAGUAGGUCUUUGGAGAACUAUGAGCAGAUACAAGAAAAACGUGGGCAAGAGUUAAAGGAGAAAGCUAAGCGAGAAGAGAAGCAGAUCCAGAAAGCAAGACGGGCCGCCGAGCUACGUGAGCAACAGCAGAAGGAACAGAUGGAGGCAAAGGCUAGGGAAGCCGAAAGACGAGCACAACAAGCCUCUCAAGUAGCUGAAGAGCGGGCACGGGAGAAGUCCCAACGUGUGGUGCAAAGCAGGAAGGAAAAAGAACGCCUCCAAAGGCUUAACCGUCAACGCGUAGAAGAGGAGGAGAAACAGCGCCGCCUAGAAUUGUUGCAGUCCAUUGAGCGCAAACUGGAAAAAAGUGAACAGAUUUUCAGAGAAAAACGUGCUGUGUUAGAAAGUGCUCGAUCCGUGGCUCGUGCAUCUUUCCACGUGCGGGAUCGUGUUCGUGAAGAGACAAACAUGCGCACCUUUGACAAGAUGGCCUUGGAGGCUCAGUUAAAUGCAAAUUUAGUUGAGAAGUGAGCGCUUCAAGUGUGCAACCUAAUUGCUCUUUCCAUGCACAUCUGUCUAGAAAUAAGCUGUGCUUGAGCCUACAUGCUAGCCUCAUCACCAAACUACAGCAACAAUAUUGAUGGUCAUGCCCUCAAGUGUUGUAUCUAAAGAUUCAUUUAUUCCUGAUGCUGGAUCAUUUUCAUCAUCUCAUCUAAAGAAAUAUUUUUCUGUAUUUAUAUCUUUUAAAUGUUAAUCUAAGAACUUAAUCUAAGUGCUUAUGUGUGGAUGCUCAUAUGUCGGGGCAUGAUUGUUUUUUGUAACUUGGCAGCCGUGUUGCUUUGAGAACUGUAUAUAAAGAGUUCAUUGUUUACAAGGACGUUUGGCACUAUGACAACAGUGAUGGCUUCUUUCUAAGGAUGGCUUUAUUUCUAAAAAGAAGAAAAAGAAAAGGGGACGGGAUGCUUCUCCCAGAGUAAAUCUUUUGAGGGAUACUCUUGUUUUAGGAAUCUAGGCCGUAGGAGAGUGAGCCAUGACUUGACUGUGUGUAAACUAAACUCUAGCUAAAUGCUGACCCAGCAUUACAUCCUAGAGUCAGGACAUGACAAAGAAUGAUCUCAGCACAGUGUAACUGCUGAUGAAGCACAGGAGUCUUUGGCCAGCAACAGACCCAUCAGGGCUCAAAUCCAUACUGACAUCCCCUGCAUUCCUUCAGGUUUGGGAGUGGAGAAGAUGACGAUGUUGACAUCUGUGGCCUGAUUCAGUAAAAAUAGCCCCCAAGAGACUGCAAAUUUCACUUUGAUCACCGAUCCUUAUUCCCUUUCUGGCAGUGACUCAGCUAGGCAUGACAUAAUUGGAAGGUUUAAUAAACACUGAUUUUAAUUCCAGCAUAUCCAGAUGGCACAUCAGCACCACUUUUAAUAUCAUAAAAGCCCAAAGAAACAAGAUUCAAAAAAGAUUCAAGAAACAAUUUCAUUUUUAUACAUUAUUGUAACAUGAGUUAAAUUUAGGGGCUUUUUAAAUGGAAGCAGAAUGGUGUUGAAUAAUAAUCAAGCUAAUAAUCAUGAAGAUGGACAAAAAAGGAUUCUGAAUGUAAUUCAUAACACAGCUUCUUAGGGCUAGUGACAAAGCAAGUGUUAAUUGCAUAUUAAUAAAUAACAGAUUGUUUCAUUAAAAUGGCCAUUUCUGCAUAUCAAUUUCGCUGCAGUGAACUUUGACAGCAGUGACAUGAACAUGAUUGUAGCAUUUUAUGUGUAAAAGUAUGUCUCAUCAAAUUAUUUUCGUCUCAGCACCAUUUUUUUUUUGUUAAUUCUAAUGAAAAUAUGUUUUCUGUAGGCAGCAGGUGCUUUAUUACUAGUUUAUUAAAAAGUGACAUGCAGGGACAUACUUUACUUGGGAACCAACAAUUCAGUUUUGAAA